GGUUGAUCCUGCCGGACCUGACUGCUAUCGGAUUGAUACUAAGCCAUGCGAGUCUUUGUAGCAAUACAAGGCAGACGGCUCAGUAACGCGUAGUCAACCUACCCUAUGGACGGGAAUAACCUCGGGAAACUGAGUAUAAUGCCCGAUAGAACACUAUACCUGGAAGGGUUUGUGUUCCAAAUGAUUUAUCGCCGUAGGAUGGGACUGCGGCCUAUCAGUUUGUUGGUGAGGUAAUGGCCCACCAAGACUAUUACAGGUACGGGCUCUGAGAGGAGUGGCCCGGAGAUGGGUACUGAGACACGGACCCAGGCCCUAUGGGGCGCAGCAGGCGAGAAAACUUUGCAAUGUGCGAAAGCACGACAAGGUUAAUCCGAGUGAUUUGUGCUAAACGAAUCUUUUGUUAGUCAUAGAACCACUAACGAAUAAGGGGUGGGCAAGUUCUGGUGUCAGCCGCCGCGGUAAAACCAGCACCUCAAGUGGUCAGGAUGAUUAUUGGGCCUAAAGCAUCCGUAGCCGGCUCUGUAAGUUUUCGGUUAAAUCUGUACGCUCAACGUACAGGCUGCCGGGAAUACUGCAGAGCUAGGGAGUGGGAGAGGUAGACGGUACUCGGUAGGAAGGGGUAAAAUCCUUUGAUCUAUUGAUGACCACCUGUGGCG
rnacentral:rRNA from 1 species